CAAGUGCAGCACGGUGCGCGGGUGCCCGGCGCGGAAGCACGUGGAGCGUGACCCCAGCGACCCCUCCAUGCUCAUCGUGACCUACGAGGGCGAGCACCGGCACACCCCCGCGGACCAGGAGCCGCUCGCCCCGCUACCGGAGCUCUGAAAUCUCUUUGCCAUUACCGUCGUCCUCACAUGUUAAUUCAACUUAGCUUAUGACCAUGUUCCCUUCGUGACUGCUAGCUACCAUAUAUUACUACUAAUAAGUAAGCACUAGAAUUUCUUUUUCUUUUGGCCGCAUCGGUUUAGUCGCACUAAGCAUGUUGUAAAAGAACAUGUGUAGUUGGAAGCUUUGAGCUUUGAAGAAGAAAAGGUGCGUGGUAGACAAGAGAAAGAGAAAGAUGUGUUUCAGAGUUGGGUUUGAU
rnacentral:lncRNA from 1 species